rnacentral:rRNA from 1 species
UACGUAGGGUGCAAGCGUUAAUCGGAAUUACUGGGCGUAAAGGGCUCGUAGGCGGCCAACUAAGUCAGACGUGAAAUCCCUCGGCUUAACCGGGGAACUGCGUCUGAUACUGGAUGGCUUGAGGUUGGGAGAGGGAUGCGGAAUUCCAGGUGUAGCGGUGAAAUGCGUAGAUAUCUGGAGGAACACCUGUGGCGAAAGCGGCUCACUGGACCAUAACUGACGCUGAUGCACGAAAGCUAGGGGAGCAAACAGG